AUUUUGUGCUUGUCAAACAAUCAGAAUUAGAAUUUUAACUGUUAUUUUAUUAAAUAGGAUUACAAAAAAGGCAUAUUUCCUCCAAUCUAGACCGUUCCGGAGGCGAGCAAAUCUGUGGCAAAAAUUUGUGGAAUAAAGUUUUCCUUGAUCAUCCUGGAACAUCCGGCUUGGUAUUCCUGCUCCCGGGAAGUGGCGAUGUUUUGGCGGCGAAAAUGACGGUGUACGGAUGGAAGGAUUUAAAGUAUUCAAUGUUCAGUUUUGUGCAUCAAGACCAGCAGUAAUGGAGUGUUUGCUAGGUUGCAGGUCCAGGAAAAGUAUUGGGCGUAAUAAGUUAUGUCUGAAGUGCAUUAAUUAUCAAAAAAUAAAUUGAUUCUAGUUGUACAAAG